AUACGGAGGGUGCAAGCGUUAUUCGGAAUCACUGGGCGUAAAGGGUCCGCAGGCGGGAAAAUAAGUCAGUGGUGAAAGCCUACAGCUCAACUGUAGAACUGCCAUUGAUACUGUUUUUCUUGAGUAUAGAUGAAGUGGGCGGAAUAUAUCAUGUAGCGGUGAAAUGCAUAGAUAUGAUAUAGAACACCGAUUGCGAAGGCAGCUCACUAAACUAUUACUGACGCUCAGGGACGAAAGCGUGGGGAGCGAACAGGAUUAGAUACCCUAGUAGUCC
rnacentral:rRNA from 1 species